rnacentral:rRNA from 1 species
AUUGAACGCUGGCGGCAGGCCUAACACAUGCAAGUCGAACGAGUGGCGGACGGGUGAGUAAUGUCUGGGAAACUGCCUGAGGGAGGGGGAUAACUACUGGAAACGGUAGCUAAUACCGCAUACCAUCGGAUGUGCCCAGAUGGGAUUAGCUAGGAGGAGGGGUAAAGGCUGCCCUAGGCGACGAUCCCUAGGUGGGCUGAGAGGAUGACCAGCCCCCCUGGGACUUGAGCACGGUCCAGCCUCCUACGGGAGGCAGCAGUGGGGAAUAUUUGACAAUGGGCGCAAGCCUGAUGCAGCCAUGCCGCGUGUAUGAAGAAGGCCGUCGGGUUUUAAAGUCCUUUCAGCGGGGAGGCGUUACCCGCAGCAGUAGCACCGGCUAACGCCGUGCCAGCAGCCGCGGUAAUUC